CAGUAGCCGCGGGAAUACGUAGGGUGCGAGCGUUAAUCGGAAUUACUGGGCGUAAAGCGUGCGCAGGCGGUUUGUUAAGACAGAUGUGAAAUCCCCGGGCUUAACCUGGGAACUGCAUUUGUGACUGGCCGGCUAGAGUAUGGCAGAGGGAGGUGGAAUUCCACGUGUAGCAGUGAAAUGCGUAGAUAUGUGGAGGAACACCGAUGGCGAAGGCAGCCUCCUGGGCCAAUACUGACGCUCAUGCACGAAAGCGUGGGGAGCAAACAGGAUUAGAUACCCCAGUAGUCCCUGUCUCUUAUAC
rnacentral:rRNA from 1 species